UGUCUCUUUCUCCUUAUUCCUAGCGAUGGUGGCGGAGGCGGGUAAAGAGUGGAUAAUCCAUCGGCAUCCACUGAUUUAUACCCCUAAUCAUGGUUUUAAAACGUCGUCGCUGUGUUCUUAAAACGCUAAUCGAAUGCGUCCCGUGGUUAUUUUUAUAGAUUUAACUUUUAAAAGUGUGAUGUUAGAGGGCAAUAGUCCUCAGCCCCCCCCGCAUACCCUCUGGCAGGGUGAGCUGCCCAUUCAGAGCAGGCUGUGGAUUGCACAAAGAUGUAUUAUCACAGAACAUUGCCUUCAGGCUGGUGUCUGCAGCAGUAACUCUAUGUACAGUAAAGUGGCAAAGAUGCUUCUAGUCCUUCUGAUUUCUACCUUCCUGUUAUAGGGAAUGGUGGGUGCAUAAAGAAGCUGCAUAGAAGGAUUCUGACAUUGCUUGAGAUUGAAGGCACUUUGAAUGGUUUGGUGAUGCCUUUGAUGGAAAAUGUGCAGUGGACCUGAUGAACAUCAGCCUAGAAUAUUAACCCUCAAGUGUUGCUGUCUGACUGGAGUGUUUUGCCUUUAAGCUGAUGCUGUUUGUAUUGAUGUUGUAUCAAUAAACAUCUUCAAGACUGA